GAAGAGGAGGAAGGCCGACCACAUUUAUUGGUCCUUCCUACUCCACAAUGCCCGUUCCUCGAAGCCCAGACAACUAUCCUGAGCGUCUAUUUCUUUCCCCUCAUCCUACAGGUCGGUGAGGGAGGCCCGUUGGCUUUCCCGAGUCCCUGAGCCAAUGAACUCCAGGGCCGAGGGUCCAUCGACCGAGGUCCACGGAGCUGCGGCCCAGGGCGGGGAGGCUAGGGGAGGCCGGGGGAGGCCCGGAGCCUCAGGCCCCACAGCCGGCGAUCCUGGCCAGGACCCCCUUCUCGUGCUUCCUCUGCCAACGAAGAACGACGGUGUCUAGACCGCCUUGGUGGCCCGACCCUCCGCUUCGCCUCCUCGUCAGCCGAGCCCUGGGGACAGACCCUUGGUCAGAAUUGAGGCUUAUGCUAGAGCAUACGAGGAGGCACUAACAAAUCCUAAUCUGGGAUAAUGAGCUCGAGGGGUAAAUGAGUACAUGGCUACUACCAGAAGAGCAGUGAAAGAAGACUUCAUAGAGGCAUUUAAAGUGACAUCACCAUGCCAAUCCCAACUUACUACAACCGGCGAGAAGCAACUGCUAGACCAGAUUAAAUACGACGAAGGUCUGCAAGUUACCCUUGCUUCUGGCCUUCUACAGCUUGAGAGGGAAGCGGCGCCACAAGCUGCCCCAUCAUCCCUGUGGAAUGAUGCCCUCCUCUCCGUGACUUGGUGG
rnacentral:lncRNA from 12 species